rnacentral:tRNA from 1 species
UCUCUGGUGGUCUAGUGGUUAAGACUCCACAUUUUCACUGUGAGGGCCCAGGUUCAUCCUUGGUCUGGGAA